UUUUAUGCCUAACCACAUAAUUGUUUUCUGAAGAUUUUAAAAUGAGUUCCUUUCUAAUCAAAUCAAAACAUAUUUAACAAAAUAGAAAGCUAGAAAUAAACAGGAAAGGAAAGGAUUUAAUUCGGCCUUACCUCAGCAAGAUGCAGGCCUUGCCCACCAAGGGCAGCACUAUCUUCUUCCUCCUGCUAGGAGGAGAAGCAUUUGCAUGCUGCAUCUCAGCCCAGCGUGGCAACAUCCCUGGCCACCUCAUGCUUCCCCCCAUCCUCAUCCUACUAGCCCAAAAGACCUCUGCAC
rnacentral:lncRNA from 1 species